rnacentral:misc_RNA from 1 species
AACGCACCUUGCACUCCUUGGUAUUCCGAGGAGUACGCCUGUUCGAGUGUUAUGAAGCUCUCAAAACGCAAUUGGCUUAAAAUCUGAUUGUUGUUUUGGAUUUGAACUUUGCCGUGUUAUAACGGCUGGUUUUAAAAGUAUUAGCUGGUACUAGAACGAAUUGGUUCUACUCAACGUGAUAAUUAUCUGAUCGUUGAGGACAUUCCUUUCACGAGGAAUGGCCAUAGUAAAUUCAAUGGACUGCUUCUAAUCUGGCUUUAAUUCUUUAUUGGAUUAACCACUUUUCAAAUCUGACCUCGAAUCAGGUGGGACUACCCGCUGAACUUAA